rnacentral:rRNA from 1 species
UACGUAGGGGGCUAGCGUUGUCCGGAAUCAUUGGGCGUAAAGCGCGUGUAGGCGGUCCGGUAAGUCCGCUGUGAAAGUCGGGGGGCUCAACCCUCGAAUGCCGGUGGAUACUGUCGGGCUAGAGUGCGGAAGAGGCGAGUGGAAUUCCUGGUGUAGCGGUGAAAUGCGCAGAUAUCAGGAGGAACACCAAUUGCGAAGGCAGCUCGCUGGGACGGUACUGACGCUGAGGCGCGAAAGCGUGGGGAGCAAACAGG